rnacentral:rRNA from 1 species
GACGAACGCUGGCGGCGUGCUUAACACAUGCAAGUCGAACGGUAAGGCCUUCGGGUACGACGAGUGGCGAACGGGUGAGUAACACGUGGGUGAUCUGCCCUGCACUUCGGGAUAAGCUUGGGAAACUGGGUCUAAUACCGGAGUAGGACCACGGUCUGCAUGGAUUGUGGUGGAAAGCUUUUGCGGUGUGGGAUGGGCCCGCGGCCUAUCAGCUUGUUGGUGGGGUGAUGGCCUACCAAGGCGACGACGGGUAGCCGGCCUGAGAGGGUGUCCGGCCACACUGGGACUGAGAUACGGCCCAGACUCCUACGGGAGGCAGCAGUGGGGAAUAUUGCACAAUGGGGGAAACCCGUGACGCAGCAACGCCGCGUGAGUGAUGAAGGCCUUUGGGUUGUAAAGCUCUUUCGGCUGGGAAGAAGGUGUGUGGUGUUAAUAGCAUCGCAUAUUGAUGGUACCAGAAUAAGAAGCACCGGCUAACUUCGUGCCAGCA